AGUGAACGCUGGCGGUAGGCCUAACACAUGCAAGUCGAACGAGUGGCGGACGGGUGAGGAAUACAUAGGAAUCUACUCUGUCGUGGGGGAUAACGUAGGGAAACUUACGCUAAUACAGCAUAAGAUAGAAUGAGACGAUGUCGGAUGAGCUAGGUGGCGGGGUAAAGGCCCACCAAGGAGACGAUCCGUAGAUGGUCUGAGAGGAUGAUCCGCCAAACUGGAACUGAGACACGGUCCAGACUCCUACGGGAGGCAGCAGUGGGGAAUAUUGGACAAUGGGCGCAAGCCUGAUCCAGCCAUACCGCGUGGGUGAAGAAGGCCUUCGGGUUGUAAAGCCCUUUUGUUGUGAAAGCGGUACCCAAAGAAUAAGCACCGGCUAACUUCGUGCCAGCCGCCGCGGUAAUAC
rnacentral:rRNA from 1 species